AGAGACAUGGUUAUCAUUCAAAGAUAGUGAAGCCAAUUGAUCUGCAGGAUUGUUGACCAGUGGCUUUGCAGCAACACUCUUCAACACCUCUAAGGCCUCUGCUACUUUAGCUUACAAAGCUUCGGGUGACUCAAUGAGAUGCAAAACUUAAGUUUGGUCCAUCUCUAGAAGCAUGCCGGUACCCUUGGCUGCUGCAUCACGCUCGAGAUGUUCCUCAUGGGGGUAUAGGCAUUCACCAAGCAUCUGAUCACCAGUCACAAAUUGACAAUAUAAAGGUCUUGAAGGAAAUUAAAUUGAACAAAAUAUAGUCACGGAAAUUGGAAAAACAAGACUCACCGUCCUUUGUGUUGAAAAGACAAAUUAAAAGGGGUGUUGAAAAGUCAAAAAAAUGGGAGGUGCAAGUGGCACCGAAAGAAAAAAAUGGUAGGCAAGUUGUUUAAAGUUGAAUGGGAUAAUUGCAAUUUUGGUCCCUAAUUUUUUAGGCCAUUUGCAAGUUAGUCCCUGAACCUCAACUAUAAAUAGGCCUAACCAUUUCUCAUUUACACCAUCCCAACCAAUCUUUCUCUCUUAGAUUUCUUUCUUCUCCCAUUUGAGAAUUCUCAAGGAAUUCUAUUUGUUUGUAAUAUUUUGAAGAUAGUAAAGUUAUCAUCUGGUGUUAGUGCCCGAGGACGUAGGUAUAAUUUACCGAACCUCGUUAAAACUCUUGUGUUCUUUCUUGUCCUAUUUUUCUUUCAAUAUUUGAGGGUAUAAUAGUAGUAUUUAAUUGUGCUAUUAAAUUACUAUAGAAGGGAUAUUCUGACUAAGGAAAGACUUGGUAUUUAAGAGAUCCAUGUGAUCCACCUCUCUUCCCUGGGAAUUGAACUUUGUGUGAUUUUUUAGUACAAUAAUUUACACGCUUCCGACCCUAUUGGAACAACAAGUGGUAUCAAGAGCCGAAGGUUAAUCGUAGUAUGCUCUGUGGUUGCAGUUUAAACUGAUCUUCCACAUCAGAAAAGAUUUCCUUAGGUAUAUUGAAAGAUUAUGGAGAAAACGGUCGGUGUAGGAGCUUCAACAUCGUCCAUGUGGACAAGACCGACAAUUGCAAAUGCAAGAUUGGCCGUGGAGAUCUUUGAUGGCACGGGCCAUUUUGGUAUGUGGCAAAGUGAGGUUCUAGAUGCCCUUUUUCAGCAGGGUCUAGACAUUGCCUUUGAUGAAGAGAAACCAGAUGAUGUACAGGAGAAAGAUUGGAAGGCGAUCAAUCGGUUGGCAUGUGGCACAAUUCGAUCAUGCCUUUCUCGAGAGCAGAGGUAUGCUUUUUCAAAGGAGACUUCUGCAAAUAAGUUGUGGGUGGCACUUGAAGAAAAUUUUUUGAAGAAAAACAGUCAAAAUAAGCUCUACUUGAAGAAAAGAUUGUUUCGCUUCACAUACGUCCCAAGUACCACAAUGAAUGAUCACAUCACCCAAUUUAAUCAGUUAGUCACUGAUUUGCUGAAUAUGGAUGAGACAUUCAAAGAUGAAGAUUUGGCUUUGAUGCUGUUGGGGUCACUUCCUGAGGAGUUUGAGUUCCUAGAAACUACUCUACUUCAUGGCAGGAGUGAUAUAUCUCUAAGCGAAGUCUGUGCGGCCUUAUACAGUUAUGAACAGAAAAAGAAGGACAAACAGAAAAACUCAAUCAGAGAUACAGAAGCUUUAGUAGUCCGAGGUCGUUCAUACACUCGGAAGAAAACUCAAAAGGGGAGAUCAAAGUCAAAGUCCAGACUCGGGAAAGAUGAAUGUGCUUUUUGUCAUGAGAAAGGCCACUGGAAGAAAAAUUGUCCAAAGCUGAAGAAUAAGGGAAAAGCUGCUGUAGAUGCUUGUGUUGCUAAGCAUGAUACUAGUGACUCUGAACUAUCAUUGGUUGCAUCAUCAUCGUCGUUCCAUUCAGAUGAGUGGAUAUUGGAUUCGGGUUGUACCUAUCAUAUGUCCCCUAACCGGGAGUGGUUCUCUGAUUUAGUAGAACUAAAUGGAGGAGUUGUUUAUAUGGGCAAUGACAAUGCCUGUAAAACUGUUGGGAUAGGUUCAAUCCAAUUAAAGAAUCAAGAUGGAUCAACCAGAGUUCUGACUAAUGUUCGGUACGUGCCCAGUUUGAAGAAAAAUCUCAUCUCAUUGGGAGCCUUGGAAUCCAAUGGUUCAGUUGUUACUAUGAGAGAUGGGAUUUUGAAAGUGAUAUCUGGCGCACUUGUGAUAUUGAAGGGCAUCAGGAAAAAUAACUUGUAUUACUACCAAGGUAGUACUGUUAUUGGAGCAGUCGCUACAGCUUCCGGUAACAAAGAAUUGGACUCAAUGCAGUUGUGGCAUAUGAAGUUGGGACAUGCUAGCGAAAAAUCCUUGCAAAUUCUGGCAAAGCAAGGAUUGUUGAAAGGUGCAAAGGCUUACAAAUUAAAAUUUUGCGAGCAUUGUGUUCUGGGAAAGCAAAAGAGAGUGAAAUUCGGUACUGCUAUCCAUAAUACAAAAGGUAUUUUGGAAUAUGUUCACUCAGAUGUGUGGGGGCCUUCCAAGACACCUUCAUUGGGAGGAAAACACUACUUUGUUACUUUUGUUGAUGACUUUUCCAGAAGAGUUUGGGUGUAUACCAUGAGAACUAAGGAUGAAGUGCUUAGAGUUUUUCUUAAAUGGAAAACUAUGAUCGAAAACCAGACUGGCAAGAAAAUCAAGCGGCUUAGGACGGACAAUGGAGGGGAAUAUAAAAGUGAUCCGUUCUUCGAUGUGUGCCAAGAGUAUGGUAUUGUUCGACACUUCACAGUUAGGGAUACACCACAGCAGAAUGGAUUGGCAGAGCGUAUGAAUCGAACAUUGCUGGAGAAAGUUCGAUGUAUGUUGUCCAAUGCUGGGUUGGGCAAGCAAUUUUGGGCUGAGGCUGUGACAUACGCUGGCCAUCUUGUUAAUCGUUUGCCAUCAUCUGCAUUAGAAAGAAAAACUCCUAUGGAGGUAUGGUCUGGAAAACCGGCUACAGAUUAUGAUUCCUUACAUGUGUUUGGAUCCACUGCAUAUUACCAUGUGAAGGAGUCAAAGUUAGAUUCGAGGGCAAAGAAAUCUCUCUUUAUGGGAAUCACUUCUGGAGUGAAGGGAUUUUGAAUUUGGUGCUUAAGCACAAAGAAAAUGAUCUGUAGCAGAGAUGUUACCUUUGAUGAAUCUGCCACAUUGAAAAAGGUAGCAGAUAAAGAUAUUCAGACGAGCAACACUCCACAGCAGGUGGAGUGUACUCCAAAACAGGUGGAGUUUGAGCAGAUGGGGAUUUGCCCAGUUAAUAAGUCUAAUUCUCCAGCCACAAUGGAGGAAUUAGAGGUUGAAGAGGUUUUGACCCAAGAACCACUAAGUACACCAGAACCAGUUGCAGUUGCAAGGCCACGGAGAGAAAUUCGUAAACCUGCUCGAUUUACUGAUAUGGUGGCCUACGCCCUUCCCGUUGUUGAUGAUAUUCCUAUCACUUAUCAAGAAGCAAUGCAAAGCUUAGAAAGUGAUAAAUGGAAAAGCGCCAUGGAUGAAGAAAUGCAGUCUCUCCUAAAGAAAAAUACUUGGGAAUUGGCACAAUUACCGAAAGGUAAAAGGGCAAUCGGAUGCAAGUGGGUAUUCGCAAAGAAAGAUGGAUCUCCUAGCAAGAAGGAUAUUCGCUACAAGGCAAGAUUGGUAGCUAAACGCUACGCUCAGAAUGAGGGAAUUGACUACAAUGAUGUAUUUUCCCCUGUUGUGAAGCAUUCCUCCAUUAGAAUUUUGUUGGCCUUGGUAGCACAGUUGAAUUUGGAACUAGCUCAACUUGAUGUUAAGACGGCUUUCUUGCAUGGUGAGUUAGAACAGGAGAUCUAUAUGACUCAUCCCGAAGGAUACACAGAUGCUGGUGGUAGAAAUUGGGUUUGUAAGCUGAACAAAUCGCUAUAUGGAUUGAAGCAAUCCCCGAGGCAGUGGUACAAGCGAUUUGAUAGCUUUAUGAGAAGGCAGAAGUACACAAGAAGCAAAUAUGACAAUUGUGUGUAUUUGCAGAAGCUGCAUGACGGAUCUUUCAUUUAUCUACUCUUGUAUGUUGAUGAUAUGUUAAUCGCUUCGAAGAGCCAAAAAGAGAUAGAUAAGCUGAAGGCUCAGUUGAAUCAAGAGUUCGAGAUGAAAGAUCUAGGUGAGGCCAAGAAGAUUCUCGGCAUGGAGAUAAAUAGAGAUAGACAGAGAGGCAAGCUUUGUUUGAAUCAGAAGCAAUAUCUGAAAAAGGUAUUACAAUAUUUUGGUGUAAAUGAAAACACAAAACAUGUAAGUACCCCACUUGCUUCUCAUUUGAAACUUAGUGCUCAAUUAUCUCCGAAAACUGAAGAAGAAAGAGAAUAUAUGGCAAAAGUCCCAUAUGCUAAUACAAUUGGGAGUUUGAUGUAUGCGAUGGUGUGUACGAGGCCUGACAUUUCACAAGCUGUUGGAGUUGUGAGCAGGUAUAUGCAUGAUCCUGGAAAAGGACAUUGGCAAGCUGUGAAAUGGAUUCUACGGUAUCUUCGAAAAACCGUAGAUGUUGGUUUCAUUUUUGAACAGGAUGAAGCACUUGGUCAGUUUGUAGUUGGAUAUGUUGAUUCCAACUUUGCUGGUGAUUUAGAUAAACGUCGUUCAACUACGGGGUAUCUGUUUACUCUUACGAAAGCCCCAGUAAGUUGGAAGUCUACCUUACAGUCUACAGUAGCUGUGUCUACUACAGAGGCAGAAUAUAUGGCAGUUACAGAAGCUGUUAAGGAGGCUAUUUGGCUUAAUGGAUUGUUGAAAGACUUAGGAGUUGUUCAAAGUCACAUAAGUUUAUAUUGUGACAGUCAGAGCGCUAUUCAUUUAGCGAAAAAUCAAGUCUAUCAUUCAAGAACCAAGCAUAUCGACGUAAGAUAUCACUUUGUGCGGGAAGUCUUUGAAAAAGGAAAAAUUCUACUUCAGAAGAUUCCGACAGCAGAUAAUCCCGCAGAUAUGAUGACCAAGGUGGUAACAACAAUCAAGUUUAAUCAUUGUUUGAACUUGAUUAACAUCCUGAGAAUUUGAGCACCUUUAGGUGUAUGGCGCUCGAGAGCGCAUUUGGAGGCACUACAAAAGAUAGCUUUAUCAAAUUUGGAGAGUUGAAGGAAGUAUGUGAAGAUGUGAUUAUCCUAAUCAAAUCUUCAAGGUGGAGAUUGUUGAAAAGACAAAUUAAAAGGGGUGUUGAAAAGUCAAAAAAAUGGGAGGUACAAGUGGCACCGAAAGAAAAAAAAUGGUAGGCAAGUUGUUUAAAGUUGAAUGGGAUAAUUGCAAUUUUGGUCCCUAAUUUUUUAGGCCAUUUGCAAGUUAGUCCCUGAACCUCAACUAUAAAUAGGCUUAACCAUUUCUCAUUUACACCAUCCCAACCAAUCUUUCUCUCUUAGUUUUCUUUCUUCUCCCAUUUGAGAAUUCUCAAAGAAUUCUAUUUGUUUGUAAUAUUUUGAAGAUAGUAAAGUUAUCAUCUGGUGUUAGUGCCCGAGGACGUAGGUAUAAUUUACCGAACCUCGUUAAAACUCUUGUGUUCUUUCUUGUCCUAUUUUUCUUUCAAUAUUUGAGGGUAUAAUAGUAGUAUUUAAUUGUGCUAUUAAAUUACUAUAGAAGGGAUAUUCUGACUAAGGAAAGACUUGGUAUUUAAGAGAUCCAUGUGAUCCACCUCUCUUCCCUGGGAAUUGAACUUUGUGUGAUUUUUUAGUACAAUAAUUUACACGCUUCCAACCCUAUUGGAACAACACUUUGUUGUUCAGGGGUUGCAUUUGCGAGAGCAGUAGCCAAAGGUUGAAGAGGCAUAGGCUGUCCAGUGCCAGCAUGUUGCAAUGGACCAGGCAAAUUACGACCAGGUCGGUAACGAUAGGCACGUCCCCUAGGAAUCAUCUGGAACAAGUUUAGUGAAUUAGAACAAAAGACUUCAGUCAAAGCAUAAGCAUAAGCAUAAGCAUAAGCAUAAGCAUGAAAUAGAGGUUAGUAUACACAUGUAUACAACUUAUUGGUUGCUGAGCCUGUUGAAAUGGACCUGGUCCGCGUCGUCCCCCUGGGCGCAGGCCCUGCUGUACCAUGGGAACAAAGAAAAUUACCAACUUUUUAUUUUCAAUGCCGAAAAAGAAAAUUUAUAAAAGGUGAUUCACUAAUGGUAUAAUUUAUCCAACUUUAAAUAGUUUUCCGCUUCAACUUUGGGCUCUUAUAUGUCAACAAAGGGACAGAUGUUUGGUGGUAAGGUGAGUAUUCGAUCGAGUCGAGUUGAAUUGAGUCAAAAAAUUUUGAGUUAGUUGAAUUGACAAAUCAUAUUUUAGCAACCAAACUCAAUUUGAAUUUUUUUCGAAUUAAAUCGAGUCAAAAAAAUUUUGAGUCAAGUUGAGUCGAGUUAACGAAUCCUAUUAUUUAUACUCAAUGUUGUGUUUAAAUGGGUAGUAGAUGAAGUACAAGAUUAUUUAACUACAUAAACAAUAUAAUGAUUUUGCCUUUAAACUUAAUAGGUAAAUAUUUAUCAAAACGACGUAGUUUUAUCUUUUAAUUUAAUGAUUUUGAAUUUUAACUUUUAAAAAAGUAAAUAUUUAUCAAAAUGACGUAGUUUUAACUUUUUUUAUUCGGAUUUUUGGAUAACUCGAAUUGUGUAAUUUAUAUUCGAGUUAAACCAAAAAAACUUAAUUUUUUUAUUCAAUUUUAUCCGAAUAACUUGAUUAACUCAAAAAUAACUUUCAAAAUUAAAAUUUUUUAUCUAAUUUUUCGAACCGAAUCGAAUUUUGCUCACCGGAUAAUACUUUUUGAGAGUAUCUUCCUUUUUACAUUUAUACUAUUCAUAAUGUUUUAUAUUGAUUAAUAUAGUGGAAUAGAAAACGUUUGAACAAAGCAACCCUCUUUCAAACCAAAGCACUUAAUCAAAGAAAAUUCAAUUUAACUUCUAUUCCCACAAAUCAAUUUCCACCACAGAAUUUUAUUGUCAGAUAUCAAUUCCACCACAAGAAACAACACUCAUGAACUCUUCAUCUAAUUCAAGAGCUUUCAUUAACGAUGGUAGAAGGCAAAUUUCCAAGUCAACACUUCCUCCACCUUCACGUCCUGGAUACGACGAAACUUUCCCAUCAAACUUAUGAGCAUAUCCACUUCGAAGCGUCAAUGCUUUCCCUAACCCGAACUCAUUUCCAUACUUGUUGAACCUUGGUGAGCUUCCCAUCAUCACAAUUUGUGGGUCAAGAAGCUGAGUAAACUGGUAAAUGAAAGGUGAAUCAAGCCAACGAUUGACCAAAUCACGCACUUCUUUAUCUGUAUGGUUAACCACAGCUUGGUGUAGUUUCCAAGCAGCCCAACCGAGACCAUGGUUAAGUAGUUCACCAGCUGUGGUCACUGCACUAACAGCAUGAAGUGAGUUACCAAAAUAAUCUGGGGAUAAAGCUGGUUCUAGCCUUGACCUAUUGUUUAUAGCUAACCUACAACUAGUGACUGUUUCGUUUGGGAAACGACGUGCCUUUGUUAUUGACUGCCAUACAAAUGCAGAUAAAGAUUGAAAGGAGGAGAUUUUGGUGGUGUUGGAUUCUGUGUUAGCCCUUUCUUUGAGCUUUGCAAUGGAUUUUGCUGAGAAAUGGAAUAUUCUCUCUAAAAGCUCGGGUGCUUCAAAUCUGGAAAUGAACUCAUCUUGGUUAGUGAAAGGAAGGUUAAGUAAUGGACCAUGACCCUCUGGAAACCAUUUCUCUAACACUGGAGGACGUGAGAUUUUCAAGUUAGUAUCUCCUUGUGCUUGAAAUAUCUCAGACAAUGUGUUGAAGAAAUGCCAGAAACUGGUUCCAUCGCCAAGAGCAUGGUUCAUCGAACAACCUAUGAACACCCCAUCUACCAGCUCGGUGACUUGAAUUGAUAACAAUGGCCUGGUGUGACCAUCAAAGUUGACUGCUCGAUCAUGGUCGAAAAACGAUUGAACAACCAACGGAACAUAAGUAGGGGAAACAAUGUCGGACACAGAUAAAUCAACAGCUGCAUGUAUAAAUUUGGCUCCUGGGCUGUUAUUGCAGUCCACAAAGACGAAAUGAGACUUUGGGUUUUCUUCUAUUUUCGUUGCGAGCCGACCUGCUAAGGGAUAGAAAUGAACGAGGGCUAUGGAAAGGGACUGCUUGAGCCGAUCCAAGACAUUGUUGAUCAAGUCUUCUUCACAGUUAUCCUCUGGUUUGGCAUAGAGAAGACCCUUUUGGAUGUAGUUCGUCGACAGCAUAACAAGAUCCCAAGUUGUCAAAUAGUAAGGCUGUUUUGAUUGAUGAGAAACAUGUUGUGGUGUAACGUAACAUUCUGAGAUGAUUCGAACUGAUGAUGGAUCCAUUCUUUUUGUUGCUAGAGAGGAAGAUGGGUAAAGUAUAUUUAGAUAGGAUUAGCAGGGUUGUUGAAUAUUGAAGUAAUGAUGUGUUGAUAUAUUAAUGGUUGCUCAAAACGAAGAGAUAAAAUUAUUUUGCUUGGUCUACUUUUGAUUCGCAGCUUGGCUUUAUGUGGUUGUUGAAUUGCAGGGACUCAUAAUUGAAUCAUAAUUGAAUCAACUAAAUCAUUACUUCUUAAUAAUCUAAUCUAUUUGCUGGAAAUCCACGUCAGUUUCACCAACCACGUGAAUCAAAACAAUUUAAAUGAGUUGAAGAAAGGAAUGUCCCAUUGGAAAGUAGGUAGCCAUCCAAUUACAGAUGGUUGUUAGAGUUGGGAAAGCUACCUACGCAAUGUUUGAUGACUUAGGUUCUAAUUUAAUAUUAAUGUUUGAUUGAGAAAUUUCUUACAUGAACAACAGAAAAAUUAAUCAAGUUCACCAAUCACAUGGGAACUUUCUCUUUGCGCUCAUAACAAAACAAUUCCACAUGCAGUUAUUAAGGAAAAGUAAUUUAUUCCAUGUCCAAAACUUGCUCUUUUAAUAAAUAAUCUCCGUUAAUGAGGUUUUGAUUUGAUUGUAAUAUUUAGGUUGUUGGAAUUUUAAGAUUUUAAGUUAUUUUUUAAAUUUGUUUUAAUUAAAUUAAUUUGAGUUUAAUUAAUUGUUACUUUGAAUUUGGGUUGUUUGAAUUUAUAUCAUUGAGAUUUGAGGUUCAAGUUUUUAAAUGUGAAGUUAUUAUGAGUAUAAAUCUGUUUGAGCCAUUUUAUUAUUUGUUUGGAACAUUUCGGAAUUUAGUUGUUUUAGUUCGAAUAAUUUUAGAUUUGAGUCAUAUUAAAUUUUGUGUCAAUUUGAGUUUAGAUUAAAUGAGUUCAAAUUAUUAAUUUUCCAUGAUUAAAUCGAAUUAAACCAAGUUUGAGUUCAGGUAAAAUUUUCAAGUUUGAAUCAAAAUUAAGAAAUCUGCCUCCUUCAAUGCCGAUGGAAUGGCCAUGGGAAAACUUUGGCUUUACUAUUGGCCUUAGAGGUGGAAGAUUCAAGGGUCAACAUUUGAACAAAACUUGGCAGCAAUUAAACAACCACAUAAAAGCCAUGCUGUGAAUCAAAACUUGGCAGUGCUAAUCCAAGCAAAAUAGAUCCAUCUUUUUCCUUUUGACCAACAGAGAUGGAUUCAUCGACAGUUGGAAUCAUCUCAGAAUGUUUUGUUACACAACAUGUUCCUGAACAAGCAAAACAGCGUUUUCAUCUCACAUGGGAUCUUCUCAUGCUGUCUGCACAGUACAUCCAAAAUGGUCUUCUUUAUGCCAAGCCACCACCGUGGAUCAUUGUGAAGAAGACUCGAUAAACAAUGUCUUGGUGAGGCUCAAGCAAUCCCUUUCCAUUGCCCUUGUUCACUUCUAUCCCUUUAGAAGGUUUUGGGUUCCUUUUUUCAUUUUCCAAUCUUUCCUACCAAGCAGUCCCAUAAAAACAAUUAUAUUUUCCAUUCUACUUCUAAUUUUCUACUCUUCAACUCUCCAUUCUUCUAAUUUUCUUUCCGGAGCAAAACCUUAAAAGUAAAGAACCGUACUGAAGUACAGGGACUAAUACAACAUUUUAGUUUGUUAUAGAACUGUCAUGAGAGGAAUAGCAUCUUCCUCUUAAGACAAUUUAAACCUGACCAAAAUCUUUGAAAGCAUGCAAUGUAAGUAAUGGCAACCAAAUGAUGUUAAAAAUAAAGUUCCAAUGACAUUGAACAAAACUUAUUGUAACAAAUAACAAUUCAGUAAAUAGAAAAAGCCUAUGAAGCCAAACCGAAAAAACACAAUGCUAGCAAAGUAUUAGAAUCCUUGCAACCACAAAAAAAAAAACAAAAAAAAACAAAAGCAUAGAUAAAUGUUCCAAACUCAACCCUACAAUACCAAAAUUCCAGUCACUCAAGAGGCAUGGUUAUCAUUCAAAGAUAGUGAAGCCAAUUGGUCUGCAGGAUUGUUGACCUGUGGCUUUGCAGCAACACUCUUCAACACCUCUAAGGCCUCUGCUACUUUAGCUUUCAAAGCUUCGGGUGACUCAAUGACAUGCAAAACUUCAGUCUGGUCCAUCUCUAGAAGCAUGCCGGUAACCUUGGCUGCUGCAUCACACUCGAGAUGUUCCACAAGGGGGUAUAGGCUUUCACCAAGCAU
rnacentral:lncRNA from 1 species